UGCCAGCAGCCAGAGAGGCAGGAGCUCAUGGGGCUAACAGCAAGUACCGCUUGAGCGGAGUUAAGCCAUGAUGUUAAGUUAUAGCCAGGCGGCUUUGGGUUGUGUUUUGAGUUACAGCCGGGAGGCUUGAAGUUGUAUUUGUGAUAUUACAACCGGAGGUUUGGGUGAGGCUGUAGGGGUUGGAGGAGGCCUCAUCAGGGACUCGCAAGGGAGUGUGAGGCCCUGGCGCCAGUGAGGGCGCGCUAGGCCCUGAGAGUUACAGGGCAGAGUCGUGAGGUCAGUUAGCUCAGAGAGGAGUGGCUGAGCCUCAUAGGGACCCCAGAAAGUGUGGGGUGCCUUAGCGCCAAGAGGGUGCAGUGUCCUCAUAAAGGGCCCCACAGGAGUGUGGGGGCCCCAGCGCCCAAGGAGGGCGCAGUGUUCUCAUAGGGACCCCAUAGGGGUGGGGUGCCCCAGCGCCAGUGAGGGCACGGUCUAGCGCCAGGAGGGCGCAUCAUUCUUACAGCGCCAGUGAAGGCGCAGUUUACGCGCCAGUGCAGGAGCAACUGGCGGCAAGGAGCGCAACCAGUGGGUUGCGGGCGGGGAACGAAGACCCCGGGUUGUGUGCAGGGCACGUAGACCCCAGCCCCAGAGAGAGGGGCGAUUUUUAUCAGGGAGCCCGAGGUGGGCACGGCGAGCCCCAAAGAGGGGGAGUGCCAUAUUGAACUAUUGGGAAGCCCAGUGUGGGCACGGCGAGCCCCAAAGAGGGGGAGCGCCAUAUUAGGAAGCCCAGGAUGGGCGCAGCAGACGCCAGCAAGGGCAUCUCUUGCGGGGUGCAUAGACCCCAGCCCCAGGGAGGGGUGAUUACUGAGGAGCCCUAGAGCGGGGCGAUUCUGAGGAGCCCGGUAACAGGCUAGCAUCGCGGAAAACCCAGAGAAGGGCAAGGUGCUGCGGUUGCCCCCGAGAGGGCGGGGAGUAGCAGUGCGGUGAGCCCGUAUCAGGAAGGGUGGUAGUGGGGUGGGCCCAAAAAGACCGGUGGCUCGAGAGGACGUCCCAGAGGGGACUAGUCUAUUGUAGAGAAGGCCCAAGAGUGGGCAUACGUGUAUUUUAACUUAACAACGUCUUUCACAUCAGCGAGGCUUGGGGCGUGGUAUUAGGGGUGGUAGGAGCCACACAUAGCCCAUACGGCUAGAGUGUCCGGGGAACACCCACCGUAUCGGGAGACCCCCAGGGGUCCAGGAACACGUGGGGACAGAGGUCCCAAGUAGCCGUGCCCAGGGAGUCAUAGGCAGCCUCCCAACCUUAUAUUUACCAGCAAGACAUGGCGGGCGAGAAUUAGAGGGUGCCUUGGGCUGGCCUUGACACGGAGCGAGGGACCUCGAGGAGAUCACGGCCCUCCUGAAGGACCCCACCGUGACAUCUACUAAUUCAAAGGGAGGUACAAGGCAACGACAGGGAGUCACAGGGCAAUGGAGGGUAAGUGCCCUUGACUGGCUUCACUGACCCCCUGCCCCCACUGAAAACAACUGGAAAACCAACCACACAUCCCUCCCCAUCUCCAGAGAGGACUCCUAACAAGGACAGUUGUAUAUGAAUGGGCUCAAACCUGAGGAUGCUCCAAGGCCCCACCCAUGUUGACAGUGCCUGUUGGGGGCAGUCCUGGGCAGUGUGACUGCUGCUGCCUUCCCCACACAGCACAAGCAGGGUCAGACCCAUGUGCUGUCCUGGGGCUGGUAAAUCCCCUGCUGGAGCCUCCCCAGCGGAGCCAGUGUCAGAGCUGUGGGGCCUGGGGGAGAGGCCAAGGUGUGCGGCCCUCCCUGUACCACUAAGAGUUGGGUCACUGUUGCUGAUAGAUACCAGCGACCGUAUUGUCUGGAAACAAGAGAAAUGCCCUCCUCGCUUCCCCCAGAACUGUCCUGCUCACCUGACUGCCAUGUUGGCCUCCAGUCAUUGUCUCCAGCUCAGGGGAUUUAGGCAUCUGCAUAGGGUGCAGGUUCUGUGUGUAGCAUCCUCUUCUGAGUGCUGGACCUGACAUUGUGCUGCCUCCUGCCUGGGAGCAGGACAGGCCUCUCAGACUCUGCCCCUCAAGGCUUAAGCACGGCCUUUCCCUGGAGCCCACAAAGAUGUCAGUCUUGUGGGGAGCCCUGUUCUCUUUUGGGGCCAUGGGACCAGAAGAAGACAUGUGCACACAGACAGGUCUUGCACAGAGGACCCUUACACACAUUGUCUACUGUUGUGUCAACUUCUGUCCUGGGAGGUGCUGCAGUGAUGUUCUACCUGUGAUGGUCCAGGCAUUAUGUGAGAGCUGGGAAAUUUUGGUUUUCAUACCUUUUAUUGGGCCAACUGCAUAGCUGGGAUGAAGUUUGGCAAGUUUUUGAACACAAGACAUUAUUUUUCCAGGUCUCCCUUAUCCCAGCUGUACAGUUCAUCCAAUAAAAGAUAUCACCCUACCCCCCCAAAAUCCUUGCUGCUUGCUUACUUCUGCCUUUAACCUCUGGAUGUCAAUUUGCUCCCAGCUUCCAUACGGGGAAGCUGUGUCUGACAGGGGCUGCUGCCUUUGUGUUGGGGACAGAGAGUCUGUGGGGAUCCACAUUCACUUUCUUUUUUUUUUUCUCACUUUUUGCAGCAAGGUACAAGACAGUGGGAGGUAAAUGGCCUUUUCUGGCUUUACUGACACAGACUUCAUUGAAAGCACCCUGAAAAUCAAACUGCUCCUUUCCCAUCAACAGAGAGGCCUCGUAACAGAAUGGUUGAGCAGGAAUGGGGCCUCACUCUCGAGAUGCUCCUGGCCGUACCGCUGAGUCUCAAUGCUCUCAGACAGCCACUGGGACUGCUAUGCCCAACCCCAGUUGACUGUGGUCCCUGGGGAGGGGAGAGUACCCUGAUCUACCCCAGCACAGCCCCUGUCCUGACACCCACACCAGAAUAGCGGGUGGCAGCUUGCACAGGUGCUGAUUACACUGCCCUGUGCCAGCUGAGCCCUACUUGCACCGAAGCACUGCUCACAUAUGCAGUAAGGACCAGCCUGUCUGCCCCAUCUCUGCACAAAGGGGCUGGAGCAGGAGGAGGGUCUGCUCUUUGUCCGGUUCUGCCUCCCUGGCACCUGUGAGUGACACCCACAGGGGCAGCCCCACUGUCUUGUAGGGCUGGUAGUGGGAGGGCAUCAAAGGACAAGUGCUAUAGGUCAGAGGCCCUAACUGUGGACUGGGGACCCAGUCCUGCCAUCUGCUCCCAGGCUGCAUUCCUGCUGAAGCCAGCACUGAUUGUAUGUAGAGCAGAGGCUGCUUUCUCAGUAAGGAUCACAGCUACUGGCUGAUCUGUUUUCAUUUUCUCUCCCUCUAUUCUUCCCCGGGACUCUCCACCAAAGCUGGGAAAGUGCUGGUUUUGGUCUCUGCAAUGUCUUGCUCACUGAUCUGUGUCCCAUGGGGUUUGUUCCUGUUUGUCUGAACUCUGGUUUCUGCCUUUUCUGGGACUUGCCAAGGCACAAAGACAUGCAGGUGAGUGAAGCCACGUUUCCACAAGCCCUCCUGGCCCCUCUCCCCAGGAGUGUUAGCUUCUACCCUGCCUCCUGACUCCCAGGGGUGCUGCUUGGCAGGGUCACAAGCACAAGGAGACAGACCAUUCAGACCCAGGGGCCCUGCUCUGGGAAACACGGAGACCAUCAGAAUCUGCUACAGCUGCCCUCCCGGGCGGCUCUGCUGCCUCCUGCUAGUGAGGUGCUGAGCUAGUCCGUGCUGACCCCAGCCCUGGCUGUGUCUGCUGGAUACGCUACUCCCUCUGUGUGUGAUGCAGUGGCAGGUACUGGAUGGAGAACAGGGGAGAGCUGGAUGCCCUCAGGUUGCUAGGGUGAGGAACAGGGUGUCCAAACCUCACCCACCAGAACUGUAAGGCCCCAGGACCCAGAGCCCUGCCACCCCAGGCUCAGCUACCAGGUGCCUCUGUCCUGGAGAAGGCAGCAGUGCAGGGGCAGCACAAUGCCCUGUGACUGCCUGCAGCGCACAGGGCAUCGCAGCAGCACAGAGUCCCUGCACUUCCAUGUCAUAAUCCUGCCAGGUGCUGGCACUGUGACUCCACCUAAUGUGAGGAGCGAGGUGCUGCUCAGCAUCAGUGCCUAUGGCAGGAUCUGGCUCUCAGUGUCUAGCUAUUUCUUCCAGCAGUGCCAGGAGAUCCCAGCUGAGAUCAGGCCCUCCUGUGCUCACAGCUGUGGAGACACAGAGUAGGAGACAAGCUCGAGGGGCUUCUGAUGUAGAGACUCUGGAAAGACAAGGGAUGGCCGAUGAUCGUCUCUCCACUGAGACCCAGGGCGCUCCAGAGACUUGUCCAGGGUGACACAGUGUCAGAGCAGGGGAGGGGACCCUGAUCUCCCAGGUUUCUGGCCCUACACCUGCAGCCCAAUAUCCUCACUUCCUGUGGGCAGGACACAAACGACCCUGGAGUGGGCGGGGGGUGCAACUCAAUCUCUGGGAGAGGGCUGGGGAGGAGAGCCCAGAUCUCCAGGGUCCCUGUCACAGCCGUUGGGCUGGAGGAGACCUGAGACCCAUAGGGCCUUGUCCCGAUGCUCUGUACUGGCAGUGCCCCAUGGAUGUGAAUUAAACCAUCCCAGGAGUAAAGGAUGGAAAAUUGGUACUAGGGAAACUGCUGGGAGGUCUGGGGUUUGGGGCUGAGACAGGAGGAAGAGGAGGUUGCUUGUGGCCAGGAUAAGGGCAUUUGCUCCAGGCUCAGGGGACAGCCCAGGAGAUGGACACAAAGUGUGAUCGGGCAGUGCAGGGUGGGGGAGCAGCAGCAUGAUGGGGAAGGAGGGCCCAGGGCAGAGCACAGAAGACGAGGAAAGGAUGUGGUGCUGGGGUUGGGAAAGAGGAUCCUGUGGGAGAGGCAUGGCUGAAGUGGGGGCUGCGGGGCUGAGAAGAGAUCUGCCAUCUGAGCAGGUGCUGGGGCUGUCUGUGGAGCUUGACUGUAGGCUGGGGAAGGAGGAGGGAAGAGGAGAUGCUCCAGCUACCAGCUGCAACAGGCUUCCCUGCCAGGGGGAUUGGCCAGAUGGGGCAUCAAGCCCACCCUGGUCACCAACCUGAAUGCCUGCCAGGGGCAGCAGAGCCUCACUGAAGCCCUCUGGGGCAAUGCUCUGCUAGCUGGUCUCCAAGGGCUCUUGGCUGCAAGGUGCGGGUGCCACUCCCUGGUGCCCAGCAUGUAGCCUGAGCACCCCCGUCCCAGUACCACAACAGUGACAGAGCAGGGGCCAGCCUGGGGAGGAGCGGGGGCUGGCAAAGACGAUUUUCCCUGCCUCUUCCCUGGCUCUGGUCAUCCAGCAAGCAUCACACUACCUCUGCCCCAGACCAAAGUUAGGCCUGGACAGGUAUGAGGGAGCACACUGAAAUACCACCUUCACCCCAGCCUAGACCAAGGUGAAGCCAACACCCACCAUGUCCCAUGCAGGCUGCAGGGGUGGGUGGGGAGGUCUGCAUUAUUGCUGAUAAAGCAUCCCCAAGGGAACCCAGAGCUACCGCGGGGAUUCCCUUGGCUCUAUCCUGUCCAUGGGGUCCUGAGCACAGCUGGAUGAGGCAGCGGGAGGCUGUUCUGUGCUUCCCAUUCCCAGCUUGUUUCCAGCCACACACAGCCCCCAGGAUGUCCUGCCUCUGGGCUGCUUCUCCCACCACGCAGCCAGUGUGUCUCCCUGCCUGUUGCUUCCUCCUGGCACCUCUGGGCUCUCUCUUUGACGUGCAUCCCCUCCCUCAGCUGCAACCCAGUCUGUGCCCAGCUGUUUCUUUCGCCUGUGUGUGGCAGCUCUUGCUCAGACCUCUGUACUACUUUGUCUUUGGGCCAUGGCUUCUGUCACUUCAGCUCCCUCUCUCCAGGAAGCGGCUUCAUGGCUCCAUCCCUGAGGCCGCAGGGAGGGCAGCAGCAACCUCAGCCAGGCCUGGAAUAUUCCAGAGAGCGCAGACACCAGCCAGGCACCAGCCCCUCCAGGCACCAACAGACAGGCUCCCUGUUGCUCCCUGUUUAAGAACAUCCUGACACAUGGAGCAGGAAGGAGAGGAGGAGGCAACCAGCAAAGCCCAGAUGCCUCCUCCCCUCUGUCCCCCCCACACCUACCCGUGAACCAAAAGCCAAAAGACUGCUUGAGUUCCCAGUAUAACCAGGAUGAAUUCAAUGAGAAAAUCCAUACUGGUAAGUUGCCAGGUUGGUGGAGCAGAAGAUAUAGCAACCUACCUCCUCCACCUCCACCGCCAGUAAAGGAAAAGUAUGUGCCCUGAUAAAAUCUGAAUGCUGUGUAUAUAUAUAUAUUCCUGAUGCCUCUAGUGCCCUUAAAAAUCAAGCUGAGAUUAUUGAAAAAGAAGUUGUCGAACUUCACCAAAUUAAUCAAUGGAAUAUGAAAGGAAUGUGGUCUUGGUUAACCUCCUGGUUCCCAAAUUUAGGAACCUUGGCAAGAAAAUCCUGUAUGAAAUAUUGUUUGUCUUAAUAGUUCUGAUAAUGUUUUAUGUCUUAGUGCAACUAAUCCUCUGCUGCGUAAAAGCCAGCAGGCAAAGCUUUAGCAAGGCAAAAAAAACACACUGCAGAGUCUAGAAUAGUGGUGUUACACAAGUGUGAGCAGAUUGAAAAAAAACAUGAAAGGCUGCAAGAUGAAAUAGAGGGACUCAUAAGAAUGGAAGUUCAAGGCUAAAGUGAGACUAAAGAGUCUCAAAGCGGGGAUUGUGGAAUCAGAAAAAAUAAAUGCCUUAAAUUUUGAUCAUACAAGUUAUAAGAUGACAUAACCGCUUUGUGGGGAAUUGCUGGCUCUGCAUACUAGAGUGGAUAAGGGAAAGUGUUUGUUCUUUGUAACGCCCCUGCAACUGCUUCGCUCACCGUGGCCUUGAAGAUAGCAGAAAAAAGUAUGUGCUUGAUCUCCCUGAGAAAACAGAGUGCUUGCUAGUUGUCUUUGACUGUUUUCUCUGAGAAUUUUUUUUUGGCAAUUAUGUCCUGUGUAACAGUCUGUUUUUUAAAAGCGUAUAUAAACUGCAUGAUUCAGUUUUGGAGGCGGAGACCUCUCUGUAGUGCAGGUGAA